CCCCCAGGUUUCCCGGCACCGACUCAGCUCCUCUCCUCUCCUUUCCUCUUCCAGACAGAUGCGUCCCGUUUGUCUUGGGAAGGGGAGCUGUUCCUCGGGAGAGAGGCCAUCGUGGAGAAGCUGACGGUGGAUGAAGAACUAGCCAUGGAAUUUCACCAGUCGUUUGUUCUCAAGAAUAUAAAUGACAAAUGGAUUUGCAUUAAUGAUAUUUUUAGAGUGGCUUCAUAGAAUUUUGAUUGAAUACAUCUACUAUUUGUAUACUAGUUUUUCACCCUCUUAACAGCUUUGUUUGACAUAAAAAAUAUAAGGAGCACAUUGGAAUUUUCUUUGGUUUUUACUUGGAAGUGAUUUGAUAAAUAAAGGAAAAUGGAUGU
rnacentral:lncRNA from 1 species